rnacentral:lncRNA from 1 species
UUUAAGUGCCUGUUGUCAUCCACCCCAAGCUCACUCACAAACAUUAAUGGCCAUCCUUGCUGUAGCAGAACCCCUCCUCUCCUCAUUAUGCUGUCCACCACUCUCCCGCACACCUUGUUGGGGUUGCUGGUUUCCCCAGCCCUCCCAACCCGCGAUCCAUGCCAAUGCAUCUCCAACACUAAUUUCCCUGUGAAUGUCAAUUCCAGCUGUUGAUUGAGGAGGAAAGAUAGGUCUGUACCAUCACUCAAGCCAGAGAUUAUGACCAGAACAUCUGGGUUGGCUGAGUGCACUGCUUCAGCUCCUUUCUGCAUGUACCUGGUCAAUUCAUGAAUAGCUUUAUAACAAGACCAAUUCCUACAAAUAUGGUAACUAAUAGUUUGGAAAUAUAACAACCCCCUCCCUUACGUGUCCGUGUAGAUAUUGUCCAAUCCAAUGGGACCCUCACCAUACAAUACAAUGCAUAUAUAAGAUUAAGAAGAACCCAUGAAUACAUAACAUUCUUCAAUUUGGUCCCGCACAUUAGGGAAUGAAUCAUAACAGGAAAAUAGAGAUCAUCACCUGUACCAGUCCUUCACAUUCUGAUUGGGGCAUCGGAGCUCAUUCCUCAAGCUCAUGCCCACCACAUUAGGGACACCGCUGAACAUGGUGGCAAUCCGGGUGAGGCCCUUGACCCACAAGUCUGGAUUGAAGUGCUGGUCGCCAAAGACGCCAUUGUCAUGGAAGCUGGGCUCGCUGAAGUGACUGUCUAGUAUGACCAUCAUAUUGUUGUCCGCAAGGUUAGACACCACCGCCUGCCAUAAUAACUUAAGAUAAAUACAAAACAGCGUUGGGUCUGUGCCUUUUUUACAAUACCGGUGUUUUAUCAUUGAAUAAUCACAAAUAUUAUUCUUUCCGAAUACUGUAGCUGUAACAGUGAGGGCGUUUGUCCAAAUUCACAAGCCACCUAUUUUUAAAUCAAGAUAAUCAUGAAAUCAUGUGAUAGUGUACGAACCAAGGAACCAUUUCAAAAGCCUCCUAUUUUUACUCCAUGCCCUAAUCAAAAUUUAAGCUCUAAAUCAUGGUGGGAAAGUGACUAAAAAUCAAAAGAAAAGCAGGUAAGUUUUAGGCAAACAAAAUAGAUUCAUUCAAUUUUCCUAGUACUUAAUGGAUUUGAGGCUUGGAGCCUCUUUAACUGAUGCCUAGAGAAAAUCAAAUGAACUUGACCACCUGGUAAGCGCUUGUGAGAGGAAGAUCAAGCAUGGAAGGGUUAUUGGCCUGGAAACCAGCAAGGGAUUCAAGCAAGCCAAGCCUCUGAAAGGACUGUAUAACAGUGAGGGAGGCCAGUGACUGGUCGGUGGCCAAGAAAAGUGGCAAAGUGAGCCUCACACAGUUGAACCCCAAGGACGCAAUCCUCUUGGAGAUGAGGUCAACUGGGUGGUUGCUGAGGCCCUCCGCCACCGCUGCUUCCUGAUGCGACGGCCAAUUCACGCAUGCCAGCUUCACCCGGGCGCCAUCUUCGUCUACUAUCCACCUUGAAUUGGUGUAUAGUGGCAGAGCCACUACAGGCUUCAGAGGUAGAAGACAUAGAAUAGAUAGAAAGAAGGACAAGAAGAAGAACCUCCCCAUCUGGAUUUGCAUUGACUGCUUGAUGGGUAGAUGGAAUGAGACAUAGUAUUGUAUUUAUAGGGUGGGGGCCCUUGUUUGUUUUUUCUUUUAAAAUUCCUUUUUUUUUUCUUUCUUCCCCACAUUAUGUUUUACUAGACCAAAUUCAUAUAUACAGUGAAAAAUGAUCAUAUAUUCAAAUAGUCAGCAUGUCUUUGAAUUGCUUUAUAAAAAUAUUAAAAAUUUAAGUUUUUUAUUUAAUUAAAAAAUAAAAAAAUUAAGUGUCAGAAAAUAAAUUUGUUUUUUUAUACCUCUAUCUAUUAAUUUUCAAUUUUAUACAAUAUUCAUAUCUUAUUUAUUUUAUAUAAACACAAAAAUUUAUUAUUCAUGAAUAAUCUCAAUCCCAAUCCCAUCAAAUUCUCACCAUCCAUUUACAUACAAAUAUUGAUUAGGGUUAAAUUCUUUGGUUGAUAGAUUUUGAAUUUAUCGUCUUUUCCACCGUGUUUCUUCCUAACAUGUCAAUAUUUUCUUCAAACCCAUCAUCUAAAUAACUCAUUAUUUGCAUGAUCCUUGAGUUAUACGAGUGAUUCACAUCGAAUGAAAGGUUUGAAAAUACUUUCUCUCGAUUAAUUUUCAUUGAUAUGAAAUACAUGUAUACAUACAAUAUACAACUGACUUUUUAGUGUAUCACUUCCUAUAAUUAUGAUGACUACUUUACAAUAGUAAACCGAUUUUAAAACAAAUGAAAUCAAAUAUUUAUGUAAUAUUCAAAAUGUUUAUAUAAUAUUCCAAAAUAAUCAACUAUUCUAUUUAGGGAUGAUAAUGAGUCAGGUUUUUUUGGGUACCCGUCUCACUCCAUCUCUAAUAAGACGGGGUUCAAUUUUAAUAAACAGGUUUGAGAAUUUUUUUUAAACCCGGGAUGGGUUCGGGUAUUGUCCUGUCUCGAUUAUAUAUAAAAUUAAAAUUUAAAAUUAAUUUAAUUUAAUUUUUAUUUCAUUAUUUUUAAUAUAUAGAUAAUAAUAAAAUAUUUUUAAUAAAUUAAGUUAUAAAAAAUAUAAUAAUUUAAUUAUUUAUAAAAUAUAUUUAUUUUAAUGUAAUUAAAAAUUUUAAAAAUAAUUUUUAAAAAAUACAAUUAAAAAAAAAAAGUUAAACGGCACGAGGGGUAUAAAAUUUUAUCAUACUCAUUCCUCCUUAUUUAAUUUUUUAAAUAGGACGAGAAUGAAAAUUAUUUUGAAUAAACGAAAUAGGGUUGGAUGACCUGUUGCCUUCCCUAAUCCUACUAAAAAGUCUCCAACAUGCCCCGCGAAAUGCUUACAAUCGUUGAGCAAUUGUAAUCAAUGAUCUUAACUUUCUUUUAUAAGGGGAAAGCGACAUUUUGAGAUGAAAUCUAUCCCGGGGGAUUUUCAUCUAAAACCUAGGAGUCUUAUCAUAUUCCCACAACAAUGCAUACACUGAAUUCAUUCAAAUAAGGAUGGGGUUUUUUCUUCAUAUUUAUUUGCAUAUUGUGGACUAUGAAUAGCAUUAUAAUUGGCGUUGGAAACACGCCAAGUUGCAGAACAUGGAAGUCAAAUAUUUGCUUGGAACUUUGGGGUUUGGAAAACUUGCAAGGCAAACCACAUCUACUUGGUUUCCCAUUGCUUUUUGUUUUUGCAUCUCAGCCUUUUGUUUAAUUCUUUUAAGCAAGUGAAUUUUAUACUUCUAUACUAUAAUUUAAAUUUUAAAAAUAAGUGUUUGAUGAUUUAAAUUUUCCUUUCAACAAAAUAUUAAAGAAUAAUUUAAAAAAAUACUUUUAAAUUCACUUUAAUUUUUCCUCAUUCUUACUUGUAGUUAUUAAUUAAUUUUUAUUUAUCCAUUAAAAAACCAUUGAUCAUUUAUGAAUAAUAAUAAGUAAUAAAUAAUAAAUAAUAAAUUAAAUUAGUGAUUUCUAUAAUAUAUAUAUAUAUAUAUAUAUAUAUGACAGAGACAAGAAGAGGUGAAUAAGAGGAAAUGAGGAUAGGGUUGGGGUGGGUUUUGGAGCAUUUUUACAUCCCUAUUUGUAAGUUUUGAAAGUUCCACGACAAUGCCAAUGGCUGUAGACCCUCUAUUUUGUCUUUCUCACACAUGUCGUUUAUAGCAAUUUCCUGGUGGCCCAUUAAUACUCGUGUAACCUAUCUUUUCUAAGCUACCUCGGAGACUUUGGUUGAGGGAUUAUCUGACCCCUUAUUGUGACCCUUGGCAGCCCUAACUUAGACUUAGGUUUUUCUUGCUUUUUUUUUAGGAUAGCUUUUAGGCACCCUAGGCCCACUUAGGCACCCUAGGCCCAUUUAGGUAACCCUAGGUCCAUUUAGGUAUCCCUAGGCCCAUUUAGGUAACCCUAGGUCCAUUUAGGUAUCCCUAGGCCCAUUUAGGUACACUUGGCCCAUUAGGCAUCACUUUAGGCCCAUUUAGACACUUUAGGCCCACUUAGUUACCUUAGGCCCACUUAGAUCACUUUAGGCCCAUUUAGUCACCCUAGGCCCAUUUAGCCACCCUAGACCCAUUUAGGUACACUUAGCCCAUUAGGCAUCACUUUAGGCCCAUUUAGACACUUUAGGCCCACUUAGUUACCUUAGGCCCACUUAGAUCACUUUGGGCCCAUUUAGCCACCCUAGGCCCAUUUAGGUAACCCUAGGCCCAUUUAGGCACACUUGGCCCAUUAGGCAUCACUUUAGGCCCAUUUAGACACUUUAGGCUCACUUAGUCACCCUAGGCCCACUUAGAUUACUUUAAGCCCAUUUAGGUACACUUGGCCCAUUAGGCAUCACUUUAGGCCCAUUUAGACACUUUAGGCCCACUUAGAUCACUUUAGGCCCAUUUAGGCACCCUAGACCCACUUAGUACACCCUAAGCCCAUUAGACGCACCUAGCCCAUUUGGUGUCACCCCAAGCCCACUUAGGCACCUUAGGUUCACUUAGAUACACCCUAGGCACCUUAGACCUACUUAAGCACCACCCUAAGCCCACUUAGGCACCCUAGGACGAUUUAGGCACUUUAGGCCCACUUAGGCACCUUAAGUCAAUUUAGGCACCAAUAGAAAGAUAAGAAACUGCCUAUGAUGUGAAGCUUGGAGUGGGUAGCUACCAUAUUGGUUCCAAGAGUAGACAUAUGGAAAAAAUGAAUGGAGCCAUGUUAUGGGGAAGAUUCAGCUUAUGUAUGAAAAAAGAAAUGAUGAGCAGCAAAGAAGGUAAUGUAAUUUGUCUUUUGGAAAAAGAAUCACAUGAUGAUGGAAGGAGGAUUCAGUAGUGUUUUGGGUCAAAGCAUAUUUUAAACGGAAAAGGAAAAGAGAUGAUAUAUUUUAGGAAGAAUUGAGGUGGCAUAUUGAAUAGACAGACUGUAUUUUGCAAGAAAGAGAGCAGAGGGAAUUCAGAGAAGGAAAGAAAAGUCAACUCACAUGCAAAAAAUGGAGGAAAGGCGUGAUGAAAGGGAUUGAGGUUUUUUUUUUUUGGGGAAUAUGAGAGACAAUUGAGGAGGGAGAAGGAGGAUUUUUUUUUUUAGAGGAGAGCCGGAAGAUAGAUGGGAGACAUCUUAGGGAGAAAAAACAAAAGAGUUUUGGAAGAAUUUUGGUUGAUUUUUUGAACGAGAUUCAGAAGAAAAUUAUAGACAUGGAGAUCACGUUUCCGGGUGGAACUUCUAAAGAACGCAUAGGCUGAUUCGGGGACUCUUUGUGGUGAAGGAACACGCGAGUCAGAUCGAAGAAGCGGACACAACUAGACUGAGAAGAAAAAGUGACACAACCGUGAAAGAGGGUAGCUGCAAGCAAGGAAAGGAAAUGAAAUCAUGGACGGUUAUAAUAGGAUUUAAUGUCUUCCGGUGAGUGUUUUGUUGGAUUUAAUGUAUUUAUAUGAGAUGUGUUAAUGAUUGUUUGAACAAAAUAUAAAUUAAGUUAGGAUUUUUAGUUUUUUUUUUUUGUUUUUUAAUUUAUUUUAUUUAUUUUAUUUUAGUUAUCAUUAUUAUUAUUGCUAAUCUCAUGUUACUUUUUGUAGGCAUUUGUCUUGGAUGAUUCGGGCUGAUAGUUUAAAAAUUAGAUGUUUUAUUCGUUUUGGAUAAUUUUGUGAUGUUAAUGAAAAGUUGAAAUAUUUUGCAAGUUUUUUUAGUUUUCAAUAAUUUGGAUAUUAAUGAAAAGUUAUAUUGUGCUUUUUUUUUUUUUUAGCUUUGGGAUAAUUCCUGAUAAUUGUUUGAAUAAAAUAUAAACCAAGUUAGGAUUUUUAGUUUUUUUUUGUUUUUGAAUUUAUUUUGUUUAUUUUAUUUUAGUUAUCAUUAUUAUUAUUGUUAAUCUCAUGUUACUUUUUGUAGGCAUUUGUCUUGGAUGAUUCGAGAUGAUAGUUUAAAAAUUAGAUGUUUUAUUAGUUUUGGAUAAUUUUGUGAUGUUAAUGAAAAGUUGAAAUAUUUUGCAAGUUUUUUUUUAGUUUUCAAUAAUUUGGAUAUUAAUGAAAAUUUAUAUUGUGCUUAAUUUUUAGUUUUGGGAUAAUUCCUGAUGAUGAUGAAGAAGUUUGAAUUUUUAAGUGUUUUGAUAAUUUUUAUGAUAGCUUUGUUCAAAAAUAAAAAAUAAAAAGUCGUAAUAUUUAAAUUAUUUUAAACAUUUUUUGUUCUCUUGGAUUAAAAUAUAAAAUAAUUGUCUAUCUUAUUUAAAAAUUUUAUUAUGUUUUAAAAAAAUAAAAAAAAAAUUAUGUGCUUUCUAAAUAAAGAGUUGUGGAAAUCAUCCUCUUGUAAAUAAAAUAAAGUAAAAAAAAAAUUAUUAAAGAAAAAUUUAAAUUAUAAAAGAUUUUCUUACAUUAAAAAAAAUAUUUUAAAAUUGUCAAAUAUAUUUUUUAUGAGGUUUUAUUAUUAUUAACAUUAUUAAUUAAUUAAUUUUUUUUUUCUCUUUUUGGUAAAUGAAUUUUUUGAAAGCAUUUUCUUUACAUGGAAUUAAAGCCAUUUUAUUUAAGUAAAUUGAAACUUCCUUUUAUAAGAUUAACUAAAACUAUGGACUCAAUUAUUACUAUUAUUAUUAUAAUUUUAAUACUCAUGAAAUAUUUCCUUUAUAAAAGUGAUAAUUACAUUUAUUUUCUUGUGAAUGAACUUUUUAAAAACAUUUCCUUUGCAUGGAAUUAAAGUCUUUUUAUUUAAAUAAAUUAAAGCUUCUUUUUAUAAAUAAAAUUCAUUAAAACUAUGGAAUCAAUUAUUGUUAUUAUUAUCAUUAUUUUUAAUACUUAUGAAAUAUUUCCUUUAUAAAAGUGAUAAUAUUUAUUUUCUUGUGAACAAACUUUUUUAAAAAAAAUAUUUUAUUUGCAUGAAAUUAUAGCCUUCUUAUUUAAGUGAAUCAAAACUUCCUUUUAUGAAUACAAUUCAUUAAAACUGUCGAAUAAAUAUUUUUUUUAAUACUCAUGAAUUUUUUAUUUUUUUAUUUUUUUAUUUUUAUUUUUACGAAAGUAAUAACAUUUAAUUCCAAGCUAUAUUUGUGUAUAUCAAUUGGGGAAUUGGUGAAACCCCUACAUAAAAUCAUCUUUUUAAAACUCAUCUUUAUUGUCACCCUUGCCAUUUAUUGAAAUCAUAUCUAUUUUUUUAGGAAUUAUAUACAAGAUGUAUGUGAUAAUUGAUGAUUUUGUAUACUUUGAUCACUUUUGCUAUGCUAAGUAGAUAACGAGCAUGCUAGGAUUUCUAUAUUUUAUUAUUUAUUAUCUAACCCCUUACAACUUGAGGAAGCACGUUACAAAUUAUCUAUGCUAUCUAAGUAUGUCCUCUAUCACCUACUUUCUGAAUUCUGUGAAUACGCUUGUCAUUGUGAAAUAAUGCUUAUGUCUAAUAAUGCUUGAGUGUUCUGAUAUACAUGUUUCAUUGUUUGAUUAUUUCUAAUAAAAUACAUGCUGGAUGAUAUAUUGUUUAAAUUAACCAUUGAUGUUUUAUGAUAGCGCUUGAGAAGCGGUCCAGGUACGCAUCCUAACCUUCCUUUAUUAUGAUUUGAUCUUGUUUGACAUGCUAUUUUUUGGAAUCAUCUAGCCUACUUAGGUAUCCAUAAUUAACCGGUUAAUUGCCACAUUCCCCUUAACUUAGUUAGUAGAGACCUUUAUAGGGCUUAGAGGGGUGCUACCUUUUAAAGGUACCUUCCCAAUAGGUAACCUAAUCCCCGGACUUAGACUCGGUGUGGACCCGCAUUUCUCACGUGCGUCCCCACUCGAUCGGGGAGACUCGCUUUUUAUUUGUGAAAAAAAUAUUUAGUUUUGGAAAAGUUGGAGCCGCCACUUAUUUUAUUUUUAUUUUAAAGGGAAAAUAAAACAAGAAAGAAAAACCCUAAAAUGUGACUCCAUAAUUUUUGGAAAAAAGCAUGUCUUUGAAAAACCCGAGUCUAAGUCCGGGGAUCAGGUUACCUAUUGGGAAGGAAUGUGGCAAUUAACCGGUUAAUUAUGGAUACCUAAGUAGGCUAGAUGGUUCCAAAAAAUAGCAUGUCAAACAAGAUCAAAUCAUAAUAAAGGAAGGUUAGGAUGCGUACCUGGACCGCUUCUCAAGCGCUAUCAUAAAACAUCAAUGGUUAAUUUAAACAAUAUAUCAUCCAGCAUGUAUUUUAUUAGAAAUAAUUAAACAAUGAAACAUGUAUAUCAGAACACUCAAGCAUUAUUAGACAUAAGCAUUAUUUCACAAUGACAAGCAUAUUCACAGAAUUCAGAAAGUAGGUGAUAGAAGACAUACCUAGAUAGCAUAGAUAAUUUGUAACGUGCUUCCUCAAGUUGUAAGGGGUUAGAUAAUAAAUAAUAAAAUAUAGAAAUCCUAGCAUGCUCGUUAUCUAAUUAGCAUAGCAAAAGUGAUCAAAGUAUACAAAAUCAUCAAUUAUCACAUACAUCUUGUAUAUAAUUCCUAAAAAAAUAGAUAUGAUUUCAAUAAAUGGCAAGGGUGACAGUAAAGAUGAGUUUUAAAAAGAUGAUUUUAUGUAGGGGUUUCACCAAUUCCCCAAUUGAUAUACACAAAUAUAGCUUGGAAUUAAAUGUUAUUACUUUCGUAAAAAAAUUAAAAAAUAAAAAAUAAAAAUUCAUGAGUAUUAAAAAAACAUUUAUUCGAUAGUUUUAAUGAAUUGUAUUUAUAAAAGGAAGUUUUGAUUUACUUAAAUAAGAAGGCUUUAAUUUCAUGCAAAGAAAAUAUUUUUUUAAAAAAAGUUUGUUCACAAGAAAAUAAAUGUUAUCACUUUUAUAAAGGAAAUGUUUCAUAAGUAUUAAUAAUAAUAAUAAUAAUAAUAACAAUAAUUGAUUCCAUAGUUUUAAUGAAUUUUAUUUAUAAAAAAUAAGCUUUAAUUUAUUUAAAUAAAAAGACUUUAAUUCCAUGCAAAGGAAAUGUUUUUAAAAAACUCAUUCACAAGAAAAUAAAUGUAAUUAUCACUUUUAUAAAGGAAAUAUUUCAUAAGUAUUAAAAAUAAUAAUAAUAAUAAUAAUAAUGAUAAUUGAUUCCAUAGUUUUAAUGAAUUUUUUUUUAAAAAAAAAAGUUUUAAUUUAUUUAAAUAAAAAGACUUUAAUUCCAUGCAAGAAAAUAUUUUUAAAAAGUUCAUUCACAAGAAAAUAAAUGUAAUUAUCACUUUUAUAAAGGAAAUAUUUCAUGAGUAUAAUAAUAAUAAUAGUAAUAAUUGAUUCCAUAGUUUUAAUUAAUCUUAUAAAAGGAAAUUUCAAUUUACUUAAAUAAAAAAAGGCUUUAAUUCCAUGCAAAGAAAAAAGUUUAUUCACAAGAAAAUAAAUGUUAUCACUUUUAUAAAGGAAAUAUUUUAUGAGUAUUAAUAAUAACAAUAAUAAUAAUAAUUGAUUCCGUAGUUUUAAUGAAUUUUAUAAAAGGAAGUUUUAAUUUAUUUAAAAAAAGACUUUAAUUCCAUGUAAAGAAAAUGCUUUCAAAAAAUUCAUUGACAAAAAAGAGAAAGAAAAAAAAAUUAAUUAAUUAAUAAUGGUAAUAAUAAUAAAACCUCAUAAAAAAUAUAUUUGACAAUUUAAAAACAUUUUUUUUAAUGGAAGAAUAUCUUUUAUAAUUUAAAUUUUUCUUUAAUAAUUUUUUUUAACUUUAUUUUAUUUACAAGAGGAUGAUUUCCACAACUCUUUAUUUAGAAAGCACAAAAAAUUUUAUUAUUUUUUAUUAUUUUUUUAAAACAUAAUAAAUUUUUUAAAUAAGAUAAACAAUUAUAUGUUAAUCCAAGAGAACAAAAAAAUGUUUAAAAUAAUUUAAAUAUUACAACUUUUUAUUUUUGAAUUUUGAACAAAGCUAUCAUAAAAAUUAUCAAAACACUUAAAAAUUCAAACUUUUUCAUCAUCAUCAAGAAUUAUCCCAAAACUAAAAAUUAAGCACAAUAUAAAUUUUCAUUAAUAUCCAAAUUAUUGAAAACUAAAAAAACUUGCAAAAUAUUUCAACUUUUCAUUAGCAUCACAAAAUUAUUCAAAAUGAAUAAAACAUCUAAUUUUUAAACUAUCAUCCCGAAUCAUCCAAGACAAAUGCCUACAAAAAGUAACAUGAGAUUAGCAAUAAUAAUAAUGAUAACUAAAAUAAAAUAAACAAAAUAAAUUCAAAAAAACAAAAAAAAAAAACUAAAAAUCCUAACUUGAUUUAUAUUUUAUUCAAACAAUCAUCAAGAAUUAGCCCAAAGCUAAAAAAAAAAAUAAGCACAAUAUAACUUUUCAUUAAUAUCCAAAUUAUUGAAAACUAAAAAAAAAACUUGCAAAAUAUUUCAACUUUUCAUUAACAUCACAAAAUUAUCCAAAGCGAAUAAAACAUCUAAUUUUUAAACUAUCAUCCCGAAUCAUCCAAGACAAAUGCCUACAAAAAGUAACAUGAGAUUAACAAUAAUAAUAAUGAUAACUAAAAUAAAAUAAAUUCAAAAACCAAAAAAAACUAAAAAUCCUAACUUAAUUUAUAUUUUGUUCAAACAAUCAUUAACACAUCUCAUAUAAAUACAUUAAAUCCAACAAAACACUCACCGGAAGACAUUAAAUCCUAUUAUAACCGUCCAUGAUUUCAUUCCCUUUCCCUUAACAAAUAAAUAAAAACAUGACAAUAGCAUCAUUCACAUCAGGACUGACCAUAUAUUCACAUUCGUUUGCAUUUUAAAUCCAACAAAACGAAGUCAAAUAACACUAACCUUGCUUGCAGCUACCCUCUUUAACGGUUGUGUCACUUUUUCUUCUCAGUCUAGUUGUGUCCGCUUCUUCGAUCUGGCUCGCGUGUUCCUUCACCACAAAGAGUCCCCGAAUCAGACUAUGCGUCCUUUAGAAGUUCCACCCGGAAACGUGAUCUCCAUGUCUAUAAUUUUCUUCUGAAUCUCGUUCAAAAAAUCAACCAAAAUUCUUCCAGAACUCUCUUUUUUUUCUCCCUAAGACGUCUCCCAUCUAUCUUUCGGCUCUCCUCUCAAAAAAAAAUCCUUCUUCUCCCUCCUCAAUUGUCUCUCAUAUUCCCCAAAAAAAAAACCUCAAUCCCUUUCAUCACGCCUUUCCUCCCCUUUUUUGCAUGUGAGUUGACUUUUCUUUCCUUCUCUGAAUUCCCCCUGCUCUCUUUCUUGCAAAAUACAGUAUGUCUAUUCAAUAUGCCACCUCAAUUCUUCCUAAAAUAUAUCAUCUCUUUUCCUUUUCCGUUUAAAAUAUGCUUUGACCCAAAACACUACUGAAUCCUCCUUCCAUCAUCAUGUGAUUCUUUUUCCAAAAGACAAAUUACAUUACCUUCUUUGCUGCUCAUCAUUUCUUUUUUCAUACAUAAGCUGAAUCUUCCCCAUAACAUGGCUCCAUUCAUUUUUUCCAUAUGUCUACUCUUGGAACCAAUAUGGUAGCUACCCACUCCAAGCUUCACAUCAUAGGCACUUUCUUAUCUUUCUAUUGGUGGACUUCCUACAAAAUUUCAAAGUUAAUAAAGUAAUAGUAAUAAUAAUAAUAAUAAUAAUAAUGAAAACUUUUAAACAAAAUUAUUAAAUUAAAUUAAAUAAGUAAAGACAAGUAUUAGGGAAAAGUGAUAAAAUAAUAGGAAAAUAAAAUAAAUGAAGAAAUAUACAAAUUAAUAAAUAAAAUAAAAUAAACAAAAAUAUAAGAGUAAAAAAAAAAAUUCAAGCAAUGUGAUUUUACAAAAACGAGUCUUGCAAGUCAUACAAGCCAUGCAACCAUGCCCAUGCAAAAAAAAUGAUCUAAAUGGGCCUAAGGUGCCUAAAUGGGCCUAGAAUGCCUAAAUUGGCCUAAGGUGCCUAAAUGGGCUUAAGGUGUCUAAAUGGGCCUAGGGUGCCUAAAUGGGCCUAAGGUGCCUAAAAGGGCCUAUGGUGCCUAAAUUGACUUAAGGUGCCUAAGUGGGCCUAAAGUGCCUAAAUCGUCCAAGGGUGCCUAAGUGGGCUUAGGGUGGUGCUUAAGUAGGUCUAAGGUGCCUAGGGUGUAUCUAAGUGAACCUAAGGUGCCUAAGUGGGCUUGGGGUGACACCAAAUGGGCUAGGUGCGUCUAAUGGGCUUAGGGUGUACUAAGUGGGCCUAGGGUGCCUAAAUGGGCCUAAAGUGAUCUAAGUGGGCCUAAAGUGUCUAAAUGGGCCUAAAGUGAUGCCUAAUGGGCCAAGUGUACCUAAAUGGGCCUAAAGUAAUCUAAGUGGGCCUAGGGUGACUAAGUGAGCCUAAAGUGUCUAAAUGGGCCUAAAGUGAUGCCUAAUGGGCCAAGUGUGCCUAAAUGGGCCUAGGGUUACUUAAAUGGGCCCAAAGUGAUCUAAGUGGGCCUAAAGUAACUAAAUGGGCCUAAAGUGUCUAAAUGGGCCUAAAGUGAUGCCUAAUGGGCCAAGUAUACCUAAAUGGGCCUAGGGAUACCUAAAUGGGCCUAGGGUGGCUAAAUGGGCCUAAAGUGAUCUAAGUGGGCCUAAGGUAACUAAGUGGGCCUAAAGUGUCUAAAUGGGCCUAAAGUGAUGCCUAAUGGGCCAAGUGUACCUAAAUGGGCCUAGGGAUACCUAAAUGGACCUAGGGUUACCUAAAUGGGCCUAGGAUGCCUAAGUGGGCCUAGGGUGCCUAAAAGCUAUCUUAAAAAAAAAGCAAGAAAAGCCUAAGUCUAAGUUAGGGCUACCAAGGGUCACAAUAAGGGGUCAGAUAAUCCCUCAACCAAAGUCUCCGAGGUGGCUUAAAAAAGAUAGGUUACACGAGUAUUAAUGGGCCACCAAGGAAUUGCUAUAAACGACAUGUGCGAAGAAGACAAAAUAGAGGGUCUACACUCGGGUUUUUCAAAGACAUGUUUUUUUCCAAAAAUUAUGGAGUCACAUUUUAGGGUUUUUCUUUCUUGUUUUAUUUUCCCUUUAAAAUAAAAAUAAAAUAAGUGGCGGCUCCAACUUUUCCAAAACUAAAUAUUUUUUCACAAAUAAAAAGCGAGUCUUGCCGAUCGAGUGGGGACGCAUGUGAGAAAUGCGGGUCCACAAUGGCAUACUACUUCCAUUUGCUAGACUUAACCAUUAUUAAGUAAUGUAAUUAAUUAUAUUUUCUGCAUAUGCUUAAUUGUAGGAAAUAUUAUUUUGUCUCUAGCCUUAACAUGUGUAUUAGUUGUUUUUGAUAUUUUUUACUGCAUUUUUAUAUCAUAUAAAUUUUAGUCACUAGUUAUUUUCAUUGAGCAUUGAAAUUCCAAAAUAUUCUUUAUUUCUAUUCUCUCUGCUUCCCUUUCUUCUAUAAGAUAUUGUUUUUGACUACUUACAACCCACAAGAUUUUGAUCAGCGGUGCGAGGUACGAGAUCCCAAGUACCAUUACGGAGUAGAGCAUCAAAUUCUUCUGACAUUGCUUGAUGCCAUCGAGGGUCCUUAAGGGCCUGGGAAACACAGGUGAGCUCAGUGAUGGGUUCGGUAGGGGUAGUGGCAAGCAUGGUCAGCUUUGUGGAUGGUUUGACAAUGUUGUUUUUGGCACGAGUGAUCAUGGAGUGGUGAUUAAGGGGAUUAACAAGGUGGAUUGGUGGUGGGUUCAAAGCCGGAAGUGGUAUUUGUCCAAGUGGUGGAGAAGAAGAUACAAUAGGUUGGCAUAGAGUCUUCAAAUUGAUGAAUAAUAGUUUUUCAUUGAUUAUUUCAUUCAUUCAUGUACAUAGUAUAUAUAGAGGGUAAUCACCAUUCUAAGAAUGGGAAAGAAUUAUACAAUGAAUGAAUGAUAUAAGGAAAGAACAACUAAUAUCCGAAUAUCUCAACAUUCCUAAUAUUUCAACUUUCCUAAUAUCUCAACAUUUCUAAUAUCUCAACACUCCCCCUCAAGUUGGUGCAUAGAUGUCACACAUGUCCAACUUGUCUAAAAAUUUUGAGAACACUCGACUUGACACUGUAGCUUUGGUGAGGAUAUCGGCCAAUUGAUCUUCUGAUAGAAUCUUAGGCAAUUCCACAAUCUUAUCAUCUAACUUCUCCUUAAUGAAGAAUCUGUCCACCUCGACAUGCUUUGUACAAUCAUGUUUUACUGGAUUAUGAGCAAUAUCACAUGCGGCUUUAUUGUCACAAAACAAUCGGAUUGGUUGCCUAGAUAGGUAACCUAAAUCCUAUAAGAGGAGUCUUAGCCAUAAUGUCUCACAAAGUCCUAGAGUUAUACCCCUAAAUUCCGCUUCUGCACUUGAAUGAGCGACGACAUUCUGCUUCUUACUUUUCCAUAUCACAAAAUUACCACCUACAAAGGUAAAGUAACCAGAUGUAGAUCACCUAUUAUCCACUGCACUGGCCUAAUCAGCAUUAGUAUAUACUUCUAUACUCUGAUGAUCAACAUUUUUAGUGAACAAAAUUCCCUUCCUAUGAGCAUUCUUCAAAUACCUCAAAAUACGCAUGACUGCAUUCAUAAAUUGCUCUCCAGGAUUAUGCAUGUAUUGACUUAGUACACUCAAUGCAUAAGCAAGAUCUGGUCUUGUAUGAGCUAAGUACACUAAUCUCCCCACAAGUCUCUGGUAUCUUCCCUUAUCAAUUGAUACUUGAUUAGGCUCACCACACAAUUUCAGACCUUCUUCUAUUGGCGUAUCAACAGGUUAACAUCUCGACAUUCCAGUCUCCUAUAAAAAAUCUAAGGCAUACUUUCUUUGAGACAGAAAAAUUCCUUCACUUGAUCGAGAAACUUCAAUCCCAAGAAAGUAUUUCAAAGAACCUAGAUCUUUCAUUUCGAAUUCUCUAGAUAAAUAAUUUUGCAGAGCUUUUCUUUAUUCAGGAUCAUUUCCUGUAACUACCAUGUCAUCCACAUAUACGAUGAGUGUUGUAAUCUUACCAUGUUACUUUUUCAGGAACAAAGUGUGAUCUAAAUUACUUUGACGAUAGCCAANNNNNNNNNNNNNNNNNNNNNNNNNNNNNNNNNNNNNNNNNNNNNNNNNNNNNNNNNNNNNNNNNNNNNNNNNNNNNNNNNNNNNNNNNNNNNNNNNNNNNNNNNNNNNNNNNNNNNNNNNNNNNNNNNNNNNNNNNNNNNNNNNNNNNNNNNNNNNNNNNNNNNNNNNNNNNNNNNNNNNNNNNNNNNNNNNNNNNNNNNNNNNNNNNNNNNNNNNNNNNNNNNNNNNNNNNNNNNNNNNNNNNNNNNNNNNNNNNNNNNNNNNNNNNNNNNNNNNNNNNNNNNNNNNNNNNNNNNNNNNNNNNNNNNNNNNNNNNNNNNNNNNNNNNNNNNNNNNNNNNNNNNNNNNNNNNNNNNNNNNNNNNNNNNNNNNNNNNNNNNNNNNNNNNNNNNNNNNNNNNNNNNNNNNNNNNNNNNNNNNNNNNNNNNNNNNNNNNNNNNNNNNNNNNNNNNNNNNNNNNNGCGAUAUCCCUUUUUGUGCAAUGCAUAUCCAACAAACACACAUUGCAAUGCACGGGAAGUUAACUUGGUACGUUGGUGUUUGUGUAGAUGCACAAAUGCCACGCAACCAAAAACAUGAGGAGGUAGAUUUAAGACGGUUGGGGCAACUACGACAUUAGUAAGAGGUUGGAGAAGUGUUUGGAAGUAAUUGAGAUGGAAGGUACCCGAUUGAUCAAGUAUACGACAGAUGUGAUUGCUUAUCCCGAAUAAGAUAUCGGUAUUUGUACUGCUAUCAAGGAAACACGAACAACCUCUAACAAGUGUCGAUUUUUCCGUUCAGCGACUCCAUUUUGCUGGUGUGUAUUGGAACAAGUAGUCUGAUAAAUGAUGUCAUGUCCUUCUAAAUAAUUUUGAAGAUCAGAACUCUGAUAUUCUCCACCAUUAUUGCUACAUAGAACCCGAACCUUUGCAUUGUACUGAGUUUCAAUCAUUUUAUGAAAUUUUUGAAACAACAAGUUCACUUCAUCUUUGGUCUUCAUCAAGCAUAACCAUGUCAUUCUAGUAUAAUCAUCAAUAAAAGUAACAAAUCAACGCAAACCACUCAAAGUUGGAACUUUGGAUGUGCCUCAAACAUCAGAAUAUAUAACCAUAAAAAGAAACGGACUUUUAUUCAAAUUUAACAGAAACAAAGCACGAUGGCUUUUAGCCAAUUCACAAACAUCACAACAGAAACCAGAAAUAUCACUAUUUGCAAAUAAACUAGGAAACAAUUUUUUUAAAUAACCAAAGGAAGCAUGUCCCAAACGUCGAUGCCAUAACCAAAUUUCAGACUUUUUCUUCUCCCUCUCAGAUCCAUCUGCCAUCAAGGUUUGUCGCAACUUAUUUGAAUCAUUUGACUGCAAGUCCAAGUAAUAGAGUUUUCCCCGCUUAAUACCACAACCAAUCGUCUCUCUUGUUUGGAUGUCCUUAAAAACACCAAAUUCAGGCCAAAAAAUGACAAUACAAGAUAAAGUUGUAGUGAUUUGAGAAAUUGACAAAAUAUUGUAAUCUAAAGAUAGAACAACUAAAACAUAAUCCAAAUUCAAAGUAUCAGUAAGAGUUAAGGAUCCUUCCCCAAUGACUAUGGUUGUGUUACUAUUGGCUAUGGAAAAAAAAAUUUGUGAGUAAGGUCUAAGGGGUGAGAUCUGUCUAGAAUCAAAAGUCAUAUGAUCUGUAGCACCAGAAUCAAUUAUCCAUGCACUAUUAAUAACAGGUGUAGAAGUAUUUAAAAAUUGACCACCAUAAUCUGUAACGGCUACCAAUGCAGAAGCUUUCUCAACAACAUUAGUCUCUGUUUUUAUUUUGGCAACAACUACAGUCAAGGUUUUCUUAGAAUCCUUCUUCCGUUGAUCACGAUUAUGAUCCCACCAAUCUGGAUAUCCCACAAUUUCAAAGCGACGACUCUUGGUAUGACCAGUCUUAUUGCAGUGAGUGCAUUUGAAGGUUGACUUAUCAAUAUUAGGGUUUGUCUUAGGAUGGUUGGUCUUGGAUUGGUCCUACCAAUUCUAGGUUGAUCGCUGUCGGACUACCAUAGUUGAGGUGUCAGGGUUGUCAAAUUCUACUUUCAUACUAGCAUGACGCUCUGUCUCUCGUCGAAUCAAUGCAUAGCAUUCUUCCAAAUCAGGAAGAGGAUCUUUGCGUAGAAUCUCUCCUCGAACUUGCUCAAAGUCACCAUCCAAUCCAGUAAGAAAGAUGUGCACCCGUUGUCGUUCAAUGGAUUUCCGAUAUGUUGCAAUGUCCUCAGGGUCUUUCAUGACUACCUUAUCCCGAUGAUCCAAUUCGCAAAAAAAUUUAGUUAACUUUCCAUAAUAUUCAGAAAGAGACGCCGCUUUGUUUGGCAAUGAAGGCUUUUUGAUUCAAAUUAAAAACUUGUAAUUCAUCACUUCCAUCAUAGAAGGCCUUUGAUAAUGCACUCCAAAUUUCUUGAGCGGUGGGUAAGCGUAAGUAACGCUUCAUAAUUUCUAGACUCAUGGACAUUAACAACCAUCUCUUCACCUUUUAAUUCUCAGCAUACUAUUUUUCAUAUCCAUCUUCUGACUCUUUUGGUCAAUUUAUCUUACCUCGAAUGUAGGAAAGUUUUUCUCGUUCAGCAAUAUGCAUCUCCACGAGUUAUGACCAAACGUCAUAGUUUGAUUCAGUUAAAAUAAUUCCUAGAUUAAAAGUACCUUCAGAUUGAAAAACAAUAGUAUUUUUUUCACUCAUUUUUUUUAUUAUUAUUAUUAUCAAAAAGGAGGGGCGAUAGCUGGCCUUACCAACAAAAUAUCCAGGAUUUCAGUUCCAUAGCUCCGAUACCAUCUUCAAAUUAAUGAAUGGUAGUUUUUCAUUGAUUAUUUAAUUCGUUCAUGUACAGAGUAUAUAUAGAGGGUAAUCACCAUUCUAAAAAUGGGAAAGAAUAAUACAAAGAAAGAAUGAUAUAAGGAAAGAACAACUAAUAUCAUAAUAUCUCAACAUGGAGAUGGAUUAGGAAUAGAAAGACAAGGCAUUUGAACAAAAAUAUUAGGAAAGCUCAGAGAAAGGGAACCUAUGAGACCUUUAUUACCAUUACUCAUUAGUGCUUCCAAAUAAAGAACCGAGUUACCAGAAAGAGGAGAUGCUAAAGAGAUGUUCGAUGGAGGAGUACUAGUAGGAGUAGGGGUGGAUAAAUGGGGCGAGAACCAGGACUCUAUGAAUGAGAAAGGCAGAGAGGGAUUGGAUGUGGCAAAUGGAAAGAUGGAUUCAACAAACUUGACAUGACAAGAUGUGUAGGUUUUAUAAGUGGUGGGAUCAAGACAAAUAUAGGCACUUUGAAAGAGUGAGUAGCCAAUCAAUACACAUGCAUGGUUUGGACUUGAACUCAAGUUUAUGAGAAUUAUAAGGACAUAACCAUGGAUAACACAAGCAACCAAAGACUCGAAGUUUUGCUAGAUUUGGCGAUUAACUAAAAAGUUUUUGGUAAGAAGAAAGAAACCUAAUAUUAUGUUUUGGUAAUCAAUUGAUCAAAUAGAUAGUAGUGGCAAAGGCUUCGAGCCAAAAUGAUAAGAACAUAGAAUCAUGAUGCAAUAAAGUGAGGGUUGUCUCAACUAUAUGAUGAUGAUGACGCUCUGAGUAUCCAUUGCGUUCAGGAGUAUGGGGGGAAUGGUGAGGCAGGAGACACCAUGAUGAGCCAAAAAAUAAAAAUUUGAGAGCAAGAUAUUCCCCACCAUUGUCUGUGUAUAGUUGUAUCAUUUGUUUGUUAUAAAAAUUUUCCACAAGCACUUUGAAACGAAUAAAAAUAUCUAAAACAUCAGACUUUUUUUUUCAUGGGAUAAAACCAAAUAUAUUUUGUAAAAUGGUCAAUGAAAAUAAUAUUUAUUACCAUUGAAGGAUUCCACAGGAGAGCACCAUACAUCAGAAUAAAGAAGUUGAAGAGGAGAGGUGCCAAUGAGCGAUGAUGCAGAAAAAGGAAGCUUAUGGCUUUCAUUACUGUGACAAGAGUUGCAAGAAAAGUUCCUAAUACUAGUGGAAGAUAAGUGAAUGCACUAAGAUGACACGAGGGGACUAAGAACUUUGGCAAAAGGAUGAUCGGGACGGUGAUGCCAAUCAGAAGUAGAUGCUUUAAUAGAAGCAAAGGCAAGUAAUGGUUUGGAUUUCUCAUGGACGGUCAGCCACUCGUAGACUCCAUCCUUAGAAUUAUCUGUCAAAAGCGUUGCUCCCAUUCGAAGAUCUUUCAUAAGAAAAGAGCGAGGUAAGAACUCAAUAGAAAUAUUGUUAGUUAAGCAAAAGUGAGAAACAGAAAUUAGGUUGCGUCUCAUAAAGGGCACACAAAGAACAUCAUGUAAAAAAAUGAGUAAGGGGAGGAUUGAAGAGUAGAAGAACCCAUGUGAGUGAUGGGGAAACUAGUGCCAUCACCAAUCAUGAUAUCAUUAUAAACAGUGGAAUCAGAGUAAAGAAGGAGAAUCUAUAUGUCACUUGUCACAUGAUGAGAGGCGUCAAAAUCCAACAACCAAUCAAUGGAAGAAGGAGCAGUCGAGGAGGCAAAAUGAGCCUGGGGAGUUGUCGACCGAGUGGAUAGGGACGGAUAAGCAGCCUAGGGUAUAUGCUUAUAGGUAGAACAUCAUUUGGCAAAGUGGCCUUCAAUACCACAAAGCUGACAAAAACCUCGGAAAGGUUUGGGAGGUGGGCGAGGUUGGUGAGAACUAGCAGGAAGGUGAGGGUUAUUGGAAGAAGAGUUACGACGAUAAGAAUUGGCCUUAUAAUUAUGAUGUGGAGAAGAGUUGGGAUUCUUAGUGGUCAAAUAAAUAAAAGUUGGAGUUAAUAAUUUCUUGCCCUGGUCUUGUUUCAAUUGGGCUUCAUGGGUGAUAAGCUUCUCAUGAAGUUCAUCGAAGGAAAUAAGGGUCUCUCUAGCUUUGACUGCAAAAGCAAGAGAAGAAUAUUUUGUCACCAAGACCACGAAGAAUUUUGAGAGUGAGAUCGUCAAUAUCAUAGGCAACAUUCAUGAGGAGAAGCUCAUCAUUGCACGUUUUAAUGAGUUGCAUAUACUCCAUAAUAGUUGUCUCACCCUCGUGCAGAUUGUCUAGGAUUCCCUUGAGAGACAUGAUACGACAUAUGGCUUUGCAUAAGUGUUGAAGAGAGUGGUCCAAGGAGCAUGAGAUGUUGUGGCAGUGGUAAUGAAGGGAAUGAGAGUGGGCAUGAUCGAACCGAUGAUGGCGUUGAGAAUAAGCUGGUCUUGGUGCACCCAAAGAGAAUACGAGGGAUUGGGAGUCAGGUCGUUUGUUGUGGUGAGGGUCGGGGGUGGACAAGAACUAGCGCUGUCAACAAAUCUGCAGACAAGGUCGUAGCCAAUAAUAAGGGUAGUAAACUGCAGGCGCCAUGCAAAAUAGUUUGUGUGAGUUAAUUUAAGUGGGGCUUGAGCAGUCACAUUGAUGGUAAUGAGAUGUGGCACAUAGUCAGGGGCCAGAAUAAUCACAAGUGAGGUAGGAGACGAGACGGGGGAGUCGUGAGUAGCAGAGAAGACAAUGGGAAAAAGGUGGGUCGAGGGCUCUAAGAGUAGAGAGAAUCUAAUACCAUAUAAGAUAUUGUUUUUGAUCGAUCAACUCAACUUAUCUGUUUAUUGAGUUCAAUAAUAUAUAUAGGUGUUUUACAAAUUCAAAAUAAAUGUACAUCUCGGAACUGAUACAAGUAGUUUACCUAUAUAUGUACAUGCUAAUUCAAAAAUAAAACAAAUUCAAAUACAAAUAAACUUGCUAUCCAAAAAUGUAGUGAAAUAAUAGAUAUACAAAAUAUAUAUACUAAUAUUAUCCCAAUAUUUUAGGCAAAUCAGUAGACGUCUCAAUAUCUUCCUUACCUGCCAAUUUGCAAUGAACCCAUUACAUAAUUUUAAUUGAUUUCCAAAGAGAGAAUGCGCAGGCCACAAUAUCUAGAAUCACAAUUUCAAGAACUACAAAAAAAGAAAAACAUAUAUAGAACUGAUAGCUAAUGUGAUCAGUCAUAAUUAUUUGAAGUGUUGCCCAAUCAAGUAAUAUAUCUUGUUCUAAACAAUUAUAAUAGCAGCUAGCAUUUCUCUUUUACAUGCAUGCUGAAAGACCAAGAUUUUUAGGUGUACGUAGAGCCUCAUUUAUAUAAGCUAUGGGUCUGCUUUCUUGUAACAAAAUUGCUUCUUUCCCAUUCCUUGGAUAUAUCACACUAUGUUACAAAGCUUUUUUGGAAGCUUUGCAUAGGCAACAUAGGAGUGGUACCCACGAUGCUUUUAAGUUGCUCAAAGGCGUCUUCAAGUGAUUUGGUUCAUUAGGAAUUAGUCAUUACCUUUAUUCAACAAAAAGAUGAAUGGUUGACUAAUCUUGUCAUAAUCCUUAAUAAGUAUCCCUUGAUUUGAGUGGAAUUCUAUGUUCAUGUGCCUAGGAGGCGGUGAACCCUUAGGUUCUAUAAACAUAGUCGAGUAUUGCUACAACAGUUGAGCUAAUUCCUUAGGUUCCUUUUCUCCCUCUUCAGCUGUAUUUUUUUCUACUUGUAUAGAGAAAAUUUGAACCUUGAUGCUUAAAAUAUGUGCUUUAAAUCCCUAUAUGAUAUGCUAAAACUAACUUCAUGAAGCCUGUAGUACUACCUCUGAACACGAAUUUCCUUCCAUUGACAGUAAAUUGCUUUCUUAGAUUGUUAAAAUUCCGCCUAAUGGGUCUCAAGCUAACAAUAUUGGAUCCUCAAAACCAUAUUAUUGCAUCCUUCCAAGGUAUGAGUCUCAAAUCAGCUUAAUAAAAACUUCUUCCCUAGCAAGUUCCAUUUCAAUUGCCUGCAAACUGCAUCACCAGUAUUCAUUAUUGAAUUAUAGAUUGCACGGAUCUACCCUCAUGGAUUCACACACACAGCCCUUGGCCACAGUGGGCUCUGGUUCUCUUCAUGCAAUGGCUGUAAUUUGACUGUAAAUUGGCACACUGAAGUUGGGAUAUUCUUAGAACUAGCUUUAAUUUAUCUAAAAACAGAAGCUACUUAUGUAUUCUUACAAGUUUCUAUAGAAGAUACGUAUAACACUGAUAGCAUGUACCUGAGCCCAUCAGAAUAACUACAUAUUUUAAGCUUAAAAAGCCCAUCGCUGAGGGAGAUAGGCUUUGAUAAAGUUAUUUUCAAGAUUUUUCCUUUUUUUACAUACAUAUAUAUAUAUAUAUAUAUAUAUAAUUUAUUCACACACACACACACACAACAAAGUUUUCCUGCUUUUUCACCGGCAUGUUGAGCUCCACGCAAGUCCAAGGUGGAUCUAGCCGAUCUGAAGAAUAGGUCUUCUUGUAAUAUUUGUGCUGUCAACAACCUUGAACCACUGGCUCCCAGGAUCACACAUAUCAUCUCUACCCAAGCACUUGCAAGCAUCUGUGACAAUGUUGCUGCUGGAGUCUACAUCCAAGCAAACUGUGGUGCCAUCCCCCAGCUUAGUUGACAGGUACAUCUUUGAAUCUGAAAUGAUCUCCCAAUUUGACCCAGGUUGAGUGCAUAUUAUACUGAGUUUUGCAGGCUUCCCUAGCCCAACUGCUUGAAGGCAGAAGUAUGUUCCCUUCACUAUCAAUAUCUUUUGGGGGGUGUAGCCCCAAGCUUCUGACUCGGUGCAGGGACCUAGCUUUAAUGGUUCAGACAAUGAUUCCCUUAGAAUGCAAAGACCAGUCGAAGGAUGCAAGAUUAUUUUAUGUGGUCUGACUCGGGAUACAUCUGGCCCUGCAUCAAAUAUGAAACCACACAAAAUUUAGAUAUGAAUAAUUAAGUAAAUUUGCCUUAUUUGCCUUAGCAAACAUACCUUGCAAAGGAGAUUGGAGGGCUGAAAUCCUCUGGAAGAAGUUCGAGUUCCAAUUCAUUAACCCAUUAGUCUCUUCCAGUGUCCACAAUGCCCAAUCGAAGUCCAGUUCAGCCGCCAGGCCAAAGAAGCAAUUUAAGUGCCUGUUGUCAUCCACCCCAAGCUCACUCACAAACAUUAAUGGCCACCCUUGCUGUAGCAGAACCCCUCCUCCCCUCAUUAUGCUGUCCACCACUCUCCCGCACACCUUGUUGGGGUUGCUGGUUUCCCCAGCCCUCCCAACCCGCGAUCCAUGCCAAUGCAUCUCCAACACUAAUUUCCCUGUGAAUGUCAAUUCCAGCUGUUGAUUGAGGAGGAAAGAUAGGUCUGUACCAUCACUCAAGCCAGAGAUUAUGACCAGAACAUCUGGGUUGGCUGAGUGCACUGCUUCAGCUCCUUUCUGCAUGUACCUGGUCAAUUCAUGAAUAGCUUUAUACCAAGACCAAUUCCUACAAAUAUGGUAACUAAUAGUUUGGAAAUAUAACAACCCCCUCCCUUACGUGUCCGUGUAGAUAUUGUCCAAUCCAAUGGGACCCUCACCAUACAAUACAAUGCAUAUAAGAUUAAGAAGAACCCAUGAAUACAUAACAUUCUUCAAUUUGGUCCCGCACAUUACGGAAUGAAUCAUUACAGGAAAAUAGAGAUCAUCACCUGUACCAGUCCUUCACAUUCUGAUUGGGGCAUCGGAGCUCAUUCCUCAAGCUCAUGCCCACCACAUUAGGGACACCGCUGAACAUGGUGGCAAUCCGGGUGAGGCCCUUGACCCACAAGUCUGGAUUGAAGUGCUGGUCGCCAAAGACGCCAUUGCCAUGGAAGCUGGGCUCGCUGAAGUGACUGUCUAGUAUGACCAUCAUAUUGUUGUCCGCAAGGUUAGACACCACCGCCUGCCAUAAUAACUUGAGAUAAAUACAAAACAGCGUUGGGUCUGUGCCUUUUUUACAAUACCGGUGUUUUAUCAUUAAAUAAUCACAAAUAUUAUUCUUUCCGAAUACUGUAGCUGUAACAGUGAGGGCGUUUGUCCAAAUUCACAAGCCACCUAUUUUUAAAUCAAGAUAAUCAUGAAAUCAUUUGAUAGUGUAAGAACCAAGGAACCAUUUCAAAAGCCUCCUAUUUUUACUCCAUGCCCUAAUCAAAAUUUAAGCUCUAAAUCAUGGUGGGAAAGUGACUAAAAAUCAAAAGAAAAGCAGGUAAGUUUUAAGCAAACAAAAUAGAUUCAUUCAAUUUUCCUGGUUCUUAAUGGAUUUGAGGCUUGGAGCCCCUUUAAUUGAUGCCUAGAGAAAAUCAAAUGAACUUGACCACCUGGUAAGCGCUUGUGAGAGGAAGAUCAAGCAUGGAAGGGUUAUUGGCCUGGAAACCAGCAAGGGAUUCAAGCAAGCCAAGCCUCUGAAAGGAUUGUCUAACAGUGAGGGAGGCCAGUGACUGGUCGAUGGCCAAGAAAAGUGGCAAAGUGAGCCUCACACAGUUGAACCCCAAGGACGCAAUCCUCUUGGAGAUGAGGUCAACUGGGUGGUUGCUGAGGCCCUCCGCCACCGCUGCUUCCUGAUGCGACAGCCAAUUCACGCAUGCCAGCUUCACCCGGGCGCCAUCUUCGUCUACUAUCCACCUUGAAUUGGUGUGUAGUGGCAGAGCCACCACAGGCUUCAGAGGUAGAAGACAUAGAAUAGAUAGAAAGAAGAAGAACCUCCCCAUCUGGAUUUGCAUCGACUGUUUGUUGGGUAGAUGGAACAUGAGACAUAGUAUUGUAUUUAUUAUUUGAGAAUUCAUUACAAUAUAUUUUUUUUCUAUUUUUAAAUUUUUUUAAUUAAUGUAAUUUUUUAUUUUUAUGUUUUGGGCAAAUUCUUCUAUUUUUAAAUUCUUCUAAUCAGUUAUAAUUUUUUAUUUUUAUGUUUUAGAUUAAUUCUAAAAUUAUUUCCUAUUUUUAUAUUUUGAAUAGAUUUUUUUCUAUUUUUAUGUUGUAGGUUUAUGUAUAUAUAUUAAUUCUUAAUCAAUGAGAAAGUCAAGUCAUUAUUUCUUAAUAAUUUUCUUUCUAUUUUAACAUUGUUUAUUUUUCUUUUUUAAAUUUUUUUUUUUUCUACUUUCUUCCCCACGUUAUGUUUUCGUAGACCAAAUGCAUAUAUAAAGUAAAAAAAUGAUCAUAACAUUAUUCAAAUAGUCAGCAUGUCUUUGAAUUUUGCUUUGUAAAAAUAUUAAAAAUUUAAGGAUGGGGUUUUUUCUUCAUAUUUAUUUGCAUAUUGUAGACUAUGAAUAGCCAUUAUAAUUGGCAUUGGAAACACGCAAAGUUACAGAACAUGGAAGUCAAAUAUUUGCUUGGAACUUUAGGGUUUGGAAAACUUGUAAGGCAGACCACAUCUACUCGGUUUCCCAUUGCUUUUUGUUUUUGUAUCUCGGCCUUGUGUUUAAUUCUUUUAAGCAAGUGAAUUUUAUACUUCUAUACUAUAAUUUAAAUUUAAAAAAUAAGUAUCUGAUGAUUUAAAUUUUCCUUAAUUACUCUUUAAAUCAAUAUACAUCUCUUUCCUUUUUAUUUAUUUCAACAAAAUAUUAAAGAAUAAUUUAGAAAAAUACUUUUAAAUUCACUUUAAUUUUUCCUCAUCCUUACUUGUAGUUUUUAAUUAAUUUUAAUUUAAUUAAUUAAUCAAUCAUGAUAAAUAUCCCUUCUUUACAGUACAGGUAAAGAGAAUCUGCUCGCACUCUUCUAUAUGGUACCAACUUCAACCAUUUAAAUAUCCCUUCUUUGUUUUUUUUUUCUUGCACAUGGGGUCCUUGUAUAACCAUGUUGGGUGAGGUCUCCCUUGAUUUGAGUGGAAUUCUAUGUUCAUGUGCUCUUGGAGGCGGUGAACCCUUAGGUUCGCUACAACAGUUGAGCUAAUUCCUUGGGUUCCUUUUCUCCCUCUUCAGCUGUAUUUUUUUCUACUUGUAUGGAGAAAAUUUGAACGUAGAUGCUUAAAAUAUGGAUUUUUGAUCCGAGUAUGAUAAUUUUAAAAAAUAAUUCUUAAAUUAUCGUAGUGGGAAAAAUAAUUCCAAAUUUACGGUAGUUGAGAAAGAUAUUUGUUUUUUUAAGUCGUCUUUUCAAAAGACGAUUUAUGAUCUUUUUUUUUUCACUAAGAAAUUGAAAUCGUCUCUUGAAAAAAUGAUUUCUACCAAAAAAAUAUAUAUAUAUAUAUAUAUAUAUAUAUAUAUAUAUAUAUAAUUAAUUAAUCAAAUAUCGUCUCUUGAAAAGAUAAUUUCCACCAAAAAAAAAUUAAGCAAUUAAAAAUCGUCUCUUCAAGAGACAAUUUCCAUAAAAAUAAAUAAAUAAAAUUUAAGUAAUUGGACAUGUCUUUUGAAAAGAUGAUUUUUCAAAAAAAAAAAAUUAAGUAAUUGAAAUUAUCUUUUGAAGAGACGAUUUUUACCACAAAAAAAAAAAAGUAAAAUUUAAUAACGAAGACGAUUAGGCAUUUGAAUAUGGAGAAUUUUACUAUAAAAGAUUUGGAUUGACUGACACAUUGUUUUUCUAUCCUUAAGGGAACAAGACCAAGAAAUUUAAGUGUCUUGCAUGAUGGAAAAUUUUGCAGGCCGGGGAUUUAUCCUUUCUUUUAACAUAAUAAUAUUUUGCAUAAUGGAAAAUUUUUGGAGCUUGGAUUUUCUUUAACUAGGAGAGUGAGCAAGAAGGCGUCCUCAUUAUCAUUAUCAUUGCUAUUUUCACUUUGGUCGGAAAGAAUAUGGGGAGUCACAUAUAUAUUUUUUUUGUACAAAUUGUCUCGAGACGAUUUCUUACUUGAUUUUAUUUUAUUUUAUUUUUGAAAUUGUUUCUUGAAGAUAAAAUUUCUCACUUCUUAAUUUUAUUUUAUUUUUAUUUUUUGAAAAUCGUCUCUUCAAAAGACGGUUUUUCAUUUCAUUUAUUACGAUUUAUUUAUAUUUUUUAAAAUCAUCUUUUGAAUAUACGAUUUUUCACUUCCAAUUUAUUUCUCUUUUCUAUUUGGAUAAAACUAAUUUAUAAUUAUUUUUCCUAUUAUGGUAAUUUAGGAAUUAAUUUUUAAAACCGUACUCUUAUCAAAAAAUCCCUUAAAAGUAUGUGCUUUAAAUCCCUAUAUGAUAUGCUAAAACUAACUUCAUGGAGCCUGUAGUACUACUACCUCUGAACAGGAAUUUCCUUCCAUUGACAGUAAAUUGCUUUCUUAGAUUGUUAAAAUUCCGCCUAAUGGGUCUCAAUUCAGCUAACAAUAUUGGAUCCCCAAAACCAUAUUGCAUCCUUCCAAGGUAUGAGUCUCAAAUCGGCUUAAUAAAAACUUCUUCCCUAGCAAGUUCCAUUUCAAUUGCCUGCAAACUGCAUCACCAGUGUUCAUUAUUGAAUUAUAGAUUGCACGGAUCUACCCUCACGGAUCCACACACACAGCCCUUGGCCACAAUGGGCUCUGGUUCUCUUCAUGCAAUGGCUGUAAUUUGACUGUAAAUUGGCACACUGAAGUUGGGAUAUUCUUAGAACUAGCUUUAAUUUAUUUAAAAACAGAAGCUACUUAUGUAUUCUUACAAGUUUCUAUAGAAGAUACAUAUAACACUGAUAGCAUGUACCUGAGCCCAUCAGAAUAAACUACAUAUUUUAAGCUUAAAAUGCCCAUCGCUGAGGGAGAUGAGGCUUUGAUAAAGUUAUUUUUAAGAUUUUCCCUUGCUACACACAUAUACAUAUACAUAUACAUAUACACACAACAAAGCUUGCAAGAAUAGGUCUUCUAGCAAGUCCAAGGUGGAUCUAGCUGGUCUGAAGAAUAGGUCUUCUUGAAAUAUUUGUGCUGUCAACAACCUUGAACCACUGGCUCCCAGGAUCACACGUAUCAUCUCUACCCAAGCACUUGCAGGCAUCUGUGACAAUGGUGCUGCUGGAGUCUACAUCCAAGCAAACCGUGGUGCUAUCCCCCAGCUUAGUUGACAGGUACAUCUUUGAAUCUGAAAUGAUAUCCCAAUUUGACCCAGGUUUAGUGCAUAUUAUACUGAGUUUUGCAGGCUUCCCUAGCUCAACUGCUUGAAGGCAGAAGUAUGACCCCUUCACUAUCAACAACUUUUGGGGGGUGUAGCCCCAGGCGUCUGACUUAGUGCAGGGACCUAGCUUUAAUGGUUCAGUCCAUGACUCCCACAGAAUGCAAAGACCAGUCGGAGGAUGGAGGAUUAUUUUAUGUGGUCUGACUCGGGAUACAUCUGGCCCUGCAUCUCACAUGAAAGCACAAAAAAAUUAGAUAUGAAUAAUUAAGUAAAUUUGCCUUAUUUGUCUUAGCAACCAUACCUUGCAAAGGAGAUUGGAGGGCUGAAAUCCUCUGGAAGACGCUUGAGUUCCAAUUCAUUAACCCAUUAGUCUCUUCCACUGUCCAUAAUGCCCAAUCGAAGUCCAGUUCAGCUGCCAGGCCAAAGAAGCAAUUUAAGUUCCUGUUGUCAUCCACCCCAAGCUCACUCACAAACAUUAAUGGCCACCCUUGCUGUAGCAGAACCCCCCCUCUCCUCAUUAUGCUGUCCACCACUCUCCCGCACACCUUGUUGGGGUUGCUGGUUUCCCCAGCCCUCCCAGCCCGCAAUCCAUCCCAAUGCAUCUCCAACACUAAUUUCCCUGUGAAUGUCAAUUCCAGCUGUUGAUUGAGGAGGAAAGAUAGGUCUGUACCAUCACUCAAGCCAGAGAUUAUGACCAGAACAUCUGGGUUGGCUGAGUGCACUGCUUCAGCUCCUUUCUGCAUGUACCUGGUCCAUUCAUGAAUAGCUUUAUAACAAGACCAAUUCCUACAAAUACGAUAAUUAAUAGUAUGAAAUUAUAACAAACCCCUCCCUUCCUUGUCAAUAUAGAUAUUGUCAAUUGGGAAACUUUACAAUGCAUUUAUAAGGUUAAGAAACUUUACAAUGCAUUUAUAAGGUUAAGAAGAGCCCAUAAAUAUAUAGUAUCAGGGGUUUUUGCCAAUUUGAUCCACAAUCCGUAGAGACACGAUAAGGAUUUUGUGUCUGGAUAGGGUGAUUGUAAUAUCAUAGGCCAAAAGUUCUUAACACUAUAUAUGACACGUUUUAAAGCCAUCCAUCGAGUCUAAAGAAAACAAUAUCUACAAGAUUGGGCUCACCUGUACCAGUCCUUCACAUUCUGUUUGGGGCAUCGGAGCUCAUUCCUCAAGCUCAUGCCCACCACGUUAGGCACACCACUGAACACGGUGGCCAUCCGGGUAAGGCCCUUGACCCACAAGUCUGGGUUGAAGUACUGGUCGCCAAAGAUGUCGUUGCUAUGGAAGCUGGGCUUACUGAAGUGACUGUCUAGUAUGAUCAUCAUAUUGUUGUCCGCAAUGUUAGACACCACCGCCUGCCAUAACAACCUAUUAGAUUAAUACAAACCAGGAGUAGGGUCUGAGCCUUUUUGAUAUUUCCGGUGUUUUAUCAUUAAAUUAUCCGAAAUCUUAUCCUUUCUGAAUACUGUAGCUGUAACAGUGAAGGCGUUUGACCAAAUUCACAAGCCACCUUUUUUAAAAUCAAGAUAAUCAUGAACCAUGUGAUAGCGUAAGAACCAAGGAACCAUGUGAUAGCUUAAGAACCAAGGAACCAUGCCCUAAUCAAAAUUUAAUCUCUAAAUCAUGGUGGGAAAGUGAUUAAAAACCAAAAGAAAAGCAGAUCAGUUUUAGGCAAACAAAAUAGAUUCAUUCAAUUUUCCUGAUACUUAAUGGAUUUGAGGCUUGGAGCCCCUUCAACUGAUGCCUAGACAGAAUCAAAUGAACUACCCACCUGGUAAGCGCUUGUGAGAGGAAGAUCAAGCAUGGAAGGGUUAUUGGCUUGGAAUCCAGCAAGGGAUUCAAGCAAGCCAAGCCUCUGAAAGGACUGUCUAACAGUGAGGGAGGCCAGUGACUGGUCGGUGGCCAAGAAAAGUGGCAGAGCGAGCCUCACACAGUUGAACCCCAAGGACGCAAUCCUCUUGGAGAUGAGGUCAACUGGGUGGUUGCUGAGACCCUCAGCCACCGGUGCUUCCCGAUGAGACGGCCAAUUCACGCAUGCCAGCUUCACCCGGGCGCCAUCUUCGUCUACUAUCCACCUUGAAGUGGUGUGUAGUGGCAGAGCCACCACAGGCUUCAGAGGUAGAAGACAUAAAAUAGAUAGAAGGAAGAAGAAGGAAAAGAAGAACCUCCCCAUCUGGGACUUGUGUUGACUGCUAGUUGGGUAGAUGGAAUAUGAGACAUGGUAUUGUACUUAUAGGGCCCGGAACCCUCGUCUGUCUUUCUUUUUAAAUUCUUUUUUUUUUUCUUCUCCUCGUUUUUUCUCACUCGACCAAACGUAUAUAGUAAACAAUGACUAUAUUUAAACCAUUCCGCUAAAUGAAUCUGUCGGCAAUUUAAUAUUAAGUGAUAUACCAUAUAUUUAAAAAAUGAAAAUAAAAAAUACCCAAUCCUAUGCCGAAACAAAAACCGGAUCUUCAUCAACAAUAUUAAUCCUCACGGUGUAUAUUACUAAGAAG